rnacentral:rRNA from 1 species
UACAGAGGUCUCAAGCGUUGUUCGGAUUCAUUGGGCGUAAAGGGUGCGUAGGCGGCGCGGUAAGUCGGGUGUGAAAUUUCGGAGCUUAACUCCGAAACUGCAUUCGAUACUGCGGUGCUUGAGGACUGGAGAGGAGACUGGAAUUUAUGGUGUAGCAGUGAAAUGCGUAGAGAUCAUAAGGAAGACCAGUGGCGAAGGCGGGUCUCUGGACAGUUCCUGACACUGAGGCACGAAGGCCAGGGGAGCAAACGGG